rnacentral:rRNA from 1 species
UGGGGGGGGAAACCCGUGAUGCAGCGACGCCGCGUGGGUGAAGAAGCGCCUCGGCGCGUAAAGCCCUGUCAGCAGGGAAGAAAAUGACGGUACCUGAAGAAGAAGCCCCGGCUAACUACGUGCC